UUAGGUACAAAUUCUACUUUGUAACGUUUCAUUGAAAAUAGCUUACAUUAUAUUUUAUACUUUCUAUUUUCAUUGUUUUCAUUCCAGCAAGUUAUAGUUUUUGUUGGCAAUUCUUUACUUCAAUAUCGGAUCUAGUGCUGACAAGCUCUGAAAAAGAACAAAAACAUGUUCACAGUCAAUAUAUUUAUGGUGACUGCAAGCGAGUAAAUCAAAUAUUUUAUACGCACGUUCACUUGGAUCACAUCGAGGUACUUGGAAAAAUAAUUAUGAGGGGGUGGAUUGAAGUAUUGAGAAUACCAACGUGUAUUAUUUUAAGAGCAGUAGCGAACCAAGAAGACACCUUUAGAAGUACCUCAUACCCAUUUCAAAUAUGUGUGCCUAGAAUAACGUACUGUCACUCACAAAAUCGUUUUAAAUAUUUCUACUACGAGUGGUACAUCCCUACAGAAUAUAUAGGCGGAAUGGACUGGGAUAUAUACUUCUAUGGGCCACCAAAUUUAGAAUGGCAGUGAAUUUUUCUCAAUUCGUCCGGAAGAUAGCAUUAUUUUAAUGUGUAUUAAAUAAUAUCGGAAUUGUUUUCAAUUAUUUGAUUAACAUGAAGGCUCCAACGAAGGAAGCUUUUAGGAAACCGGACUUCUCGGGGUUUGUAGUGUUUAAAUAAAUUAAAAUCCUUUUAUAUCACCGAUUCUUUUAAAAUAAUAUCUCCGAAUCGAGUGUCAGAAUUUAAAAAGUGAAUAACUAAGAUCCUUUUUCGUUGCACACAACAGUUUGCGACUAGUAUUGAGGCAGAUAGACCGAGAAUCGGUGAACUAAAGCGAUUUCAAUUUAUUUAAACACAACCCCGAGAAAUCCGGUUUCCUAAAAGCUACCUUCGUUGGAGCCUUCAUGUUAAUCAAUUAAUUGAAAACAAUUCCGAUAUUAUUUGAUACACAUUAAAAUAAUAUUUAAUACUAUAAUAAAAAUUUUAUACUAAUAAUAUAAAUACGAUUUUUGACCAGGCUGUAUAACGUAUAUGUCAUAAUAUUAUAUUAGUGCUGUUGUGUCAUUAUCCUUCGCAUGUAAGCUUGAUAUCAUAUCACUGUUGAUAUAUUCAUUGAUUUUAUGCGGUACUUGUAAUAACCGUGCACACAUUCGUGUCGAUUCUAUUGACAACUAUAGCUAUUACGUUAUACAGAUGUAUAAAAGGCUUGCGGAAUAUGGCUUUUAACAAUGUCAAUAAUGCAUCAGCGGCCAUUGAAUAUUUAAACUUUCAGUAAAAUGAAAAGUCAAUAGUGAUAUUUUUCUGGAUUGCGAAAAAAGAUGUCCGGCCGUUCGUUCUAGUUACUUUGCAAUUGUAUUAUAAUUUAGAUCGUCCAAUCAUGAUAUAAACUAGAAUUGGCUCUUAGCGUAGCACUUUCUUUUGUUUGACUGUUUUGAAAAUAAAAUUCUUAUGAAAACGCUCAGCUGA